UUGAAACACCAGUUUCCAUACAAUCACCAAAGUUAAGCAACAUCAAGCCUGAUCUGUACCUAGAUGGGUGACCACUUGGGAAUACUAGAUGCUA